rnacentral:rRNA from 1 species
GACGAACGCUGGCGGCGUGCUUAACACAUGCAAGUCGAACGGAAAGGCCCUGCUUUUGUGGGGUGCUCGAGUGGCGAACGGGUGAGUAACACGUGAGUAACCUGCCCUUGACUUUGGGAUAACUUCAGGAAACUGGGGCUAAUACCGGCUAGGAGCUCCUGCUGCAUGGUGGGGGUUGGUAAGUUUCGGCGGUUGGGGAUGGACUCGCGGCUUAUCAGCUUGUUGGUGGGGUAGUGGCUUACCAAGGCUUUGACGGGUAGCCGGCCUGAGAGGGUGACCGGCCACAUUGGGACUGAGAUACGGCCCAGACUCCUACGGGAGGCAGCAGUGGGGAAGAGUGCACAAUGGGCGGAAGCCUGAUGCAGCAACGCCGCGUGCGGGAUGACGGCCUUCGGGUUGUAAACCGCUUUCGCCUGUGACGAAGCGUGAGUGACGGUAAUGGGUAAAGAAGCACCGGCUAACUACGUG